rnacentral:rRNA from 1 species
CCUACGGGUGGCAGCAGUGGGGAAUAUUGGGCAAUGGGCGCAAGCCUGACCCAGCAACGCCGCGUGAAGGAAGAAGGCUUUCGGGUUGUAAACUUCUUUUCUGAGGGACGAAGAAAGUGACGGUACCUCAGGAAUAAGCCACGGCUAACUACGUGCCAGCAGCCGCGGUAAUACGUAGGUGGCAAGCGUUAUCCGGAUGUAUUGGGUUUAAAGGGUGCGCAGGCGGGCUGGUAAGCCGGCGGUAAAAAUUCAGGGCUCAACCCUGUCGAGCCGGCGGAACUGGCAGUCUUGAGUGGGUGAGAAGUAUGCGGAAUGCGUGGUGUAGCGGUGAAAUGCAUAGAUAUCACGCAGAACGCCGAUUGCGAAGGCAGCAUACCGGCGCCCAACUGACGCUGAGGCACGAAAGCGUGGGGAUCGAACAGGAUUAGAUACCCUGGUAGUC